rnacentral:tRNA from 1 species
GCCUCAGUAGCUCAGCGGUUGAGCGCCUGACUUGUAAUCAGGCGGUCGGGGGUUCAAUUCCCUCCUGAGGCU